UGGGGAAUAUUGGACAAUGGGCGGAAGCCUGAUCCAGCCAUGCCGCGUGUGUGAAGAAGGCCUUUUGGUUGUAAAGCACUUUAAGCGAGGAGGAGGCUACUAGUACUAAUACUACUGGAUAGUGGACGUUACUCGCAGAAUAAGCACCGGCUAACUCUGUGCCAGCAGCCGCGGUAAUACAGAGGGUGCGAGCGUUAAUCGGAUUUACUGGGCGUAAAGCGUGCGUAGGCGGCUGAUUAAGUCGGAUGUGAAAUCCCUGAGCUUAACUUAGGAAUUGCAUUCGAUACUGGUCAGCUAGAGUAUGGGAGAGGAUGGUAGAAUUCCAGGUGUAGCGGUGAAAUGCGUAGAGAUCUGGAGGAAUACCGAUGGCGAAGGCAGCCAUCUGGCCUAACACUGACGCUGAGGUACGAAAGCAUGGGGAGCAAACAGG
rnacentral:rRNA from 1 species